CCACGAGGCUCUUCCAUUCCCAGCCGUUCAGGUCUCUUGGUUCUGCCAUACAUUUCCUCAAUUUUUUAUUUUUUCUCUCCUAAUCUUUCGUUGUCUUAAGAUUUCUAAGAGGCUGUUUACUCGAGCCUCCUCACUAGUUAUCAGCAGUUUGCUUCCAUUUUAUGAGAAGCUUGUUUUAGAAAAGGAAUAAUCUGUACUUAAUUAUAAAAACUUUAUUUGGUUUACCUCAUCCGUUAUUACCCACAUCAGACACCCUCACCAAACAGGUUUCCAACGUUCCUUCUAUGCAACCUCAAACAGAUUACAUACUGGCUUAUUUGCAUAACUCUCUCUAUCACAAAGCAGCAUCUUUUAAUUGAGGUCUUCUUUUAAGCCUUGGAGGAAGGAUCAUGUUUAGAGAACAAAAUGCGAAUCAAGAAAGUUAACUUUCAGGACUCCAAAGAGCUAUUUGGUGUCCAAAUAAAGGAACAUUAAAGUACCAAGAACAACUGAAAAAGAGGAAGAAGAAAGAAGGAAGGUAAAUGAGGGGCACACUAGAAGUCUGUGCAACUGAACCUUGAGCGAAACAAAGAAAGAUGAAGCAAAGCGCCCAAAGGCCUGAAAUGAUGGACACAUUUCAGGGAUAGGGGUCAGAGGUGAGCGGCAAGAUUCAAACCAGAGCUCGGCUGCUGGGGGAGCCCAAGGCAUCUUUCAGGGUCUAAUGGACCAUCCACAAAAUGGAUGAUGAUGGUGACCAAAUGAACAGGCAGCCACGUGCUUUCAUUCUGAGCUUUUAAGCCAUGUGUGGUCAGAGGCUGUACCUCAGGAUACGGGAAGGAACAGUUUAAGGAGUAAACAUUAUGAAUGCCAUUAUUAAUAACCAUACUACUCUCUUGCUUUCAGAGUACAACCCACAGGCCUUCGAUAGCUAACAUACCAUGAUCUCAGAAUAUGGCACCUUUAAGAGAAGGGUGAGCUUGAGCAGCACAUGGAAAAAGAACCCUUGAGGUCCUCCCCCAACGCAGCGGUUCUCAACCUGUGGGUCGCAAACA